GAUGAACGCUGGCGGCGUGCCUAAUACAUGCAAGUCGAGCGAACGGACGAGAAUCUUGCUUCUCUGAUGUUAGCGGCGGACGGGUGAGUAACACGUGGAUAACCUACCUAUAAGACUGGGAUAACUUCGGGAAACCGGAGCUAAUACCGGAUAAUAUUUUGAACCGCAUGGUUCAAAAGUGAAAGACGGUCUUGCUGUCACUUAUAGAUGGAUCCGCGCUGCAUUAGCUAGUUGGUAAGGUAACGGCUUACCAAGGCAACGAUGCAUAGCCGACCUGAGAGGGUGAUCAGCCACACUGGAACUGAGACACGGUCCAGACUCCUACGGGAGGCAGCAGUAGGGAAUAUUCCGCAAUGGGCGAAAGCCUGACGGAGCAACGCCGCGUGAGUGAUGAAGGUCUUCGGAUCGUAAAGCUCUGUUAUUAGGGAAGAACAGAUGUGUAAGUAACUGUGCACAUCUUGACGGUACCAAAACAGAAAGCCACGGCUAACUACGUG
rnacentral:rRNA from 1 species